GGGACCGACCCUUCGGGGAGCCUAUACAGGUGUUGCAUGGCUGUCGUCAGCUCGUGUCGUGAGAUGUUCGGUUAAGUCCGCUAACGAGCGCAACCCUCGUCGUAUGUUAUAUGUGUCAUACGAGACUGCCGGUAAAAGCCGGAGGAAGGUGAGGAUGAUGUCAAGUCAGCAUGACCUUUAUAUCCAGGGCUACACACACGCUACAAUGGUCUGUACAAUGGGUAGCCAAGCCGCGAGGCGGAGCCAAUCCUGAAAGCAGGCCUCAGUUCAGAUUGCAGUCUGCAACUCGACUGCAUGAAGCCGGAGUUGCUAGUAACCGCAGGUCAGCAAUACUGCGGUGAAUACGUUCCCGGGUCUU
rnacentral:rRNA from 1 species